AGGGGCGGGUGGUCCCGGUGAAGAAGGCCGCCGGGCUGCUGACGCGGCCGCACGCGUUGUGGGAGGCGGCGUUCGAGGCGUUCCCGACCCUG
rnacentral:tRNA from 1 species